ACCGAACGCUGGCGGCAGGCCUAACACAUGCAAGUCGAGCGGAGCGGCGGACGGGUGAUUAAUGCCUAGGAAUCUGCCUGGGCGUGGGGGAUAACGUCCGGACACGGGCGCUAAUACCGCAUACUAUCAGAUGACCCUCGGUCGGAUUAGCUAGUUGGUGGGGUAAAGGCCUACCAAGGCGACGAUCCGUAACUGGACUGAGAGGAUGAUUAGUCAGCCUGGAACUGAGGCACGGUCCAGACUCCUGAGGGAGGCAGCAGUGGAGAAUAUUGGGCAAUGGACGAAAGCCUGAUCCAGCCAUACCGCGUGAGUGAAGAAGGUCUUCGGAUUGUAAAACGCUUUAGGUUGGGAAGCGUUACCAAAAGAAAAAGCACCGGCUAACUUCGUGCCAGCAGCCGCGGUAAUUC
rnacentral:rRNA from 1 species